GCCGUCUCGGGGGGCGCGGCCCAGACCACCGACGCGCCUGGCGGGGGCACGAGCCGCUGGGCGUCCACUCUGCCUGGCCCCGGAGGUGUUCCCAGGUACCCGAGCCUCGCGGCGUUUUCAAGUGCUGGCUGCGAAGCUUGAAAAGGACCCGCCGCUGGGCCGGGCGUUUUGUGUUUGCCAAACAAAGCAUGAAGGCAGAAGAGACAUCUGUAAUCCUGCUGAUGCUCAUGUGCUGAAAACUAUGACCGUACUCAAUAAAGAAGGAGACACAGUGUUACAGCUCUUUUGGAAUUAGUCUAGCAGAUUUCUCAGUUUUCACUGGAAACCCUUAAAAAGGUCUGUUCUAUACUCCUAACUCUCCAGGAGUUUACAAGGAAUAAAAUCUCUUCCAAAAGCUUUCUGUUGCAACAACUGGACCAUACUGAAAGCUGAGGCCCACAAUUGCAAUCUAGGUUAGCAGGUAAUCAUUGUUGGUGAGGUCCUCCCUUUCCCCAGGCUCGUGUUUGUAUUGGGGAGCAGGAAAUUUUUGCUAGAGCAGCACUGCCAUCUCUCUACACUCCACCUGAUUGGUGGGAUGGACCAGAGAAAUGGACAUUCCCAACACAGUCCCUCCUUUCACAUCUGCUCACCUGCCCACAGGAUACUUUCCACCAUGCAUACUGGGCUCUGCACCAACGAUUCAGCAGUGAUGAAGAGGAAACUUGAACCCUUCUCUCCAGGAGCUGACACCAUUUAGUGAGGAGCCAGACAAAUAAAUAAAGAAGGAAAUGCCAUUAAACGUACAGGAUGACUAUCACAGUGGUAAGAGGAAUGAGGGAACACUCUGGGAGCAUAAAGGAGGUGCAUCUAACCAAUUAUCAACUGCAUCAUCAAGUAUCAAGUCAGAAAGAUUAGAUUUCAUAAACCUUGCCUCUAAGCACCAACCUGAUGGUCACUCUGACAACACAUAUAUUGAGCAUCCUCUCUAGGUCAGACCUGGGCUAGGAGCUGGGGGGAUAUAAGGAAGACUAAGACAUAGCCCAUGCUCUUAAGGAGCUCACAGUCUAAUGGAGAAAACCUCCAAAUAAACUAACACUUUCAGCGUAGUGCAGAGAUGGGGUCAUGCAAAAAGAACUAUAGAAAAACAGAGGUGGGGCCCCUAACACAGUGUGCAGGUCAGAGAAGGCUACUCCGAGGAGAUUAGUCCUGAGCUGGUUCUGAAGGGAUGAAUAGAGCUUAGCUGCUUGAAAAAUAUGGACAAGGUCAGUCCAGACAGAGGGAACUUCAUGGUCAAGAGUAUGGAGAUGAGCCUGAGCAUGGAGGUUGGGGAAUGAGGCUUGAGCAAUAAGCAGGGGUCAGAGAAUGAAGGACCUUAUAUGCCAUUCUGGGUAUAACUGGAAAACUUGGACUUGAUCCUGUGUAAAAUCAAAUCAGAUGUUGUGAGCCAGUGGGGGGCAAUUCCAAAGACAGAGGUAUAAGCCAGAGGGUGCCGGGCUAUUACAGUCUAAGGGAGAAAUGAUGAUGGCCUGAGCUAGGCCAGUAAGAGCAGCGAAAGAGAGCAGAGAGACACAGAGCUGUUUGGGAGGUAGAUGGAUGAGUGAUUGAUCGGCUGUGUGGCUAAGGCAGAGGAAGGAGUUUAUGAUGACUUCCAGUUUUCCAGUUUGUGUCCUGCCAGAAUUGGAGAUACAGAAGGAGCAGGGGUAGCAGAGGCAGGAAGGGAAGAAUGAGCUCGAUUUUGGACAUGUCAAAUUUGGGGUCCUUCUGGGUCAUCCUGGUAUGAGUGGCUCCCAAAGAAAGUGAUUUUGCAGAAGAAGUGAUGCUUGCUACUUGCUCUCCUUUACUGAUAUAAAUUUGAAGAGGGGACAUAUAAUCUGGCAAUUUCAAAUAGACAUAGAAAAGACAUCAAAGCAGCCAGGAACCAAGCAUUAAGAACUCUCUCAUAUAGAGAGUGAGCAAAUAAACCUCAUCAGACCAGCAGACUCUGCCAACAUACCCUGCAUUUCCCUGUUUGAUGUUCCUGCUAUUCCAGUGCUGAUGUCUAAGUAACUGUACCACAAAGUACACUGGGAAGGAGAACAAAUGGCCAAAAUUGUCUCAAGAUCCCCUUUUCUUUUGACAUGCACUAUGACUUGUGGCAAAUGGAAAAUAAAUAAACCCAAACAUAAAAAAAGAAUUGCAGGCCCAUGUUCUUCUCAAGUGACUUUUAAGGGGAAACAAAUGGAAAUGUUCACUUUGCUCUUAUUUGUAUCACUUUUUAAAAUAACUUUAUUGAUGUAGAAUUCACAUACUAUACAAUAAAAUCCUCUGAUGUCACUCCUAAGAUGGUAUGGCUGUGAGCAUGAGCACAGUCACCCUGAGAUGAUAGUGGUUUCAGCAUGGCUCUGUUUGUCUUUUUCCUUGAUACCUCUGUUAAGUUGUCUGCCUCCUUCUAUUAAACUACACGAAUUUCUGGCCGAUUGCUCAAUAAUUUUUCAAUAAUUUUGGGGGUAUACAUUGCUUCACAGUUUGAUCCAAUUACAUUUAAGCAGGGGUAGCUUUAUGUCGUGAUUCUUUGAGGUUUGCUCUAACCCCAAGAAAACUCCUCUUAGCUGGGCCUUUCCCUGGUUCUCUCUGAUAAACAAGAUUGUCUGUGGUUAGGCUUUUUGCUCUGAUAGAUCUAUCAGCCUCCCUUAAUUGCUCACCAUUAAAGUCUCCAUCAUUUUCUAGAGUAUCCUUAGGCUUGAACUGCCACAUACUCCUUCAAAGUCAGUUCCUUUGAGGAGAACUUCAGCUACAUCUGUUCUUAUGGAC
rnacentral:lncRNA from 1 species